rnacentral:rRNA from 1 species
UACGUAGGGGGCUAGCGUUGUCCGGAAUCAUUGGGCGUAAAGAGCGUGUAGGCGGCCCGGUAAGUCCGCUGUGAAAGUCGGGGGCUCAACCCUCGAAUGCCGGUGGAUACUGUCGGGCUAGAGUGCGGAAGAGGCGAGUGGAAUUCCUGGUGUAGCGGUGAAAUGCGCAGAUAUCAGGAGGAACGCCGAUUGCGAAGGCAGCUCGCUGGGACGUUACUGACGCUGAGACGCGAAAGCGUGGGGAGCAAACAGG